rnacentral:lncRNA from 1 species
ACAAAAUGCCUUUGAUGAGGCCCUUCUCGAUUUCUGUUCUGUGUAUUUUUCUACCAUUGUGAUCACUGUAUCCUUCUCUACAGGUUGACCAGAGCAAAACACCCAACUGUAGCGUGAGCCAGAGGAGCCGCCACAUCGGAGCACCCCACCGCCGGUAAGUUUCGAUUUUUUAUGUUUUUUGGGCAAACCAAGGCUCCUUAACAUAUUUUCUAGCAGGAAUUGAUGCAAAGUCGGCCAAUUUUGGCCAAAAAGGGCCGAAAAUAGCCCACCCGAGGAAGACUACCACCACAAGCGACGGCGCCAUCGCCGGAGCAUGGCGAAGCCGUUGUGCCGGAAUUUCAAAAUUGGCCAUAUAGGCCCUGGGACUGAUUUUGGAUUUGUUUGGGACAUUUGUAGGUACUAUCAGUGCGUUUUAAUUCCUAAAAAA